rnacentral:rRNA from 1 species
GACGAACGCUGGCGGCGUGCUUAACACAUGCAAGUCGAACGAAGUGGCGAACGGGUGAGUAACGCGUAAUCAACCUGCCCUUCAGCGGGGGACAACAGUUGGACACGACUGCUAAUACCGCAUACUGAAGGAGUGCAGUGCGUCUGAGUAGCUAGUUGGAGGGGAAACGGCCCACCAAGGCGAUGCGCAGUAGCCGGGCUGAGAGGAUGAACGGCAACAUUGGGACUGAGACACGGCCCAGACUCCUACGGUCGGCAGCAGUUGGGAAUCUGCCGCAAUGGACGAAAGUCUGACGGAGCAACGCCGCGUGAGUGAUGACGGCCUUCGGGUUGUAAAGCUCUGUUAAUCGGGACGCGGAACCGGAAUAGAAAGCCACGGCUAACUACGUGCCAGCAGCCGCGGUAAUUC